AUUGAACGCUGGCGGCACGCUUAACACAUGCAAGUCGAACGGUAACGCGGGGGUAACCCUGGCGACGAGUGGCGGACGGGUGAGUAAUGCUUAGGAAUCUGCCCAACAGUGGGGGACAACCCGAGGAAACUCGGGCUAAUACCGCAUACGUCCUAUGGGAGAAAGCGGGGGACCGUAAGGCCUCGCGCUGUUAGAUGAGCCUAAGCCCGAUUAGCUAGUUGGCGGGGUAAUAGCCCACCAAGGCGAUGAUCGGUAGCUGGUCUGAGAGGAUGAUCAGCCACACUGGGACUGAGACACGGCCCAGACUCCUACGGGAGGCAGCAGUGGGGAAUAUUGGACAAUGGGCGCAAGCCUGAUCCAGCAAUGCCGCGUGUGUGAAGAA
rnacentral:rRNA from 1 species